GAAAGAGGUCAAGUAGGAACUAGUUAGGGGUUGCAGAUGAAGACUCGAACGGAAGAGAGAAGCAGAUGGUGCACGGUGCAGGAGAGAUCGUAAAACUGUUUAGUGAAAUUGAGUUGAAUGCACGUUUUGGAAUUGAUUAUCGGUUUUCGCCAUCGUCAUUGAAUUAAGUCGCGGUACGGGAUGGGAAGGUGCGGACGUUUUGGUGUAAAUUCCAGUUUUUCUUAUUUUCUUCUCGACGAAGUGUUUUCUCUACUGUUUCGGGUUAGCUAACCUGCAGCUAGCCACACGAAGAGGACAGCACGCGGCUGGACGAGUGUGUUUGUGUCGGACCUGCAUUCGGAUCGCCAGUGACUUGUUUUCCUGUGUGUACUCCUCAGGACUCAGGGUUCGCGAAGCUCAGCUUCUCAUUUCCAUGCUGCAGCACAAAGUGAUGUCAUCCUUCAUUUCCUCCAAGGCUGGGGACGGGGGAUUUUUCUGUCAUCCAAGAGAAGUGAGGGACGGGAUCAACACUGGCAUGCAAGGGCGCAUCAGAAUGUGAAUCGCGACGCACGCGGGGAGCUCUCCCUGCGGGGACGGACGGACGGACGGACGGACGGCGGGGCGAGAACAACGGCGCCCGCUGCAUAUGCAACGCGCUGUCACGGCAACGCCGCUCGUUAUUUGUAUUCGCCGUGCGGCGCGGGACCUCCGAAGAAUGUUUCUGCGGAGGAUUAAAGCGCUUACUACCGCAACAGAUGACAGCUCUGGCAAAAAUAAAUAAAUAAAUAAAAUUUUAAAAAAGUCUCGGACACUCGACGCGCGCAAACUUCCGUUCCAGUUUUUAGCCCGCAGUUGGCAAGAGAUGUAAUUCCGUACAGCGGAAUUCGUGUCAGCGCUUAAUCUCAGGAGUUAUUUAUGUUUUAAAAGGCAAAGGAGGGUAUUAGUAUGCAAAAUAUUUUAAUCUCCCGGGGCCCUCUAGGAUGAUAUUUCAGGAUGAGCGAAUGCAUUUAAAUACGUCAAAGGAAAUGCAACAUAUGUUUCACUUCUGGUCUGUUGCCUACUUUAUUUAUUUAUUUAUUUUUUUUCAUAUAAUAACGGUAACAAUAGUUUGUCUUGCAGAGGAGAAUAUGCAGUAUGCAAUGUGAGGGAUCUUACUGAUAUGUUCACUGAAUGUUUUGAACUUAGAGAAAUCAUAUCUGAAGAUAUAUCAAAUGAAUGGCAAUAUGUUAUGCAGACUUCAAAAAAAAGGUGCAUUUGGGUAAAUACAAUUAAUCUGUAACACUGCGCAUUUUCAGACAUCUUCCUUUCACUUAGCAUAUAAUACUGCACUUCGGGCCGAAAUAUAGAUUUGUAGGAACAGACUUUCGGCUGCUUUUUACUGAAGUGUAAAUCAGUGUCACAUUCUCAUAAAUACCCAAGAGGUCAAAAAGAUCAAGGAGAGGAAUGUUUUACAAAAUGAUAAAUUUAAGUCACCCUUCAACUUGCUUUAUAAGACCAAUCUGUAUGAUUGACCACCGUCAGCAUAAUGUUAUGUGUUAUCACAAUAGACUCCCAAUAUAAACUAGUAUUAACCUAUUGAACCUUUUUACCCUUUGAUAUAAAAAGCACAGCAUUUCAAAGCCAAGGUCUGACAGCUCUCUGGGACCUGUAAAGCGGCCUAUAUCUAUUCAUUCUCCUGGCCUCUCUUUGCCUUUCAUGAACCCCAUACUGGAGAAAACAGUUAAAUUAUCACAUACAGUAUAAGGCUGAAGCAUGCACACUAAAAUAAUAAUAAAUCACACUUCAGGAAAAUACUUUCUUCAUUUGUCAACAAUGCAUAGCAAUGACCUUUUCAGUGCCCAGCCUCUGGAAGAGGUGUAAAUGAAAGUAGGAGCGUAAGGAGAUGAAAAAAAGAUUGCUGGCGCCAGUGGUUCGUUUUGCAUCUUAAAUUGCAUGAUUACUUUGCGGUAAUGGGUUGCUUAAUUGCCGAAUCAUUAAGAAAGUCUCUUGUCCCAUUAGAAUCAGCUCCAAGAAAAAGACCUAGCCAGUGGCGUAGGCAAACCCUGUGGGCCACUCAACUCUGCAGUCCCUCCCGAAAUUAAGCUUUCUGUCCUGCAAAUCACCUUUCUCUGGCCGCGUCUGUUCCUUAUAGAUGUUGCCUAAUGUGAUUGAUCUAAUUUUACCCGGAAGACUAAUUCA